GCGCGGGUGGCGGAAUCGGUAGACGCGCUAGCUUGAGGUGCUAGUGGCCAACUUAACGGCCGUGAGGGUUCAAGUCCCUUCCCGCGCACCG
rnacentral:tRNA from 1 species